UACGACCUCAACUCAAGCAAGGCUACCCGCUGA
rnacentral:rRNA from 1 species